rfam:Ceraceosorus bombacis genome assembly, contig: Scaffold_277
GCGUUUGUGGUGUAGUGGUAACAUGCCUGCCUUCCAUUAUUUGCCCUGAGGCGAGGAAGCAUGCGCUCCGGGUUCGAUUCCCGGCGGACGCA